rnacentral:rRNA from 1 species
AGUGAACGCUGGCGGUAGGCCUAACACAUGCAAGUCGAACGGCAGCACAGUAAGAGCUUGCUCUUACGGGUGGCGAGUGGCGGACGGGUGAGGAAUACAUCGGAAUCUACUUUUUCGUGGGGGAUAACGUAGGGAAACUUACGCUAAUACCGCAUACGACCUACGGGUGAAAGCAGGGGAUCUUCGGACCUUGCGCGAUUGAAUGAGCCGAUGUCGGAUUAGCUAGUUGGCGGGGUAAAGGCCCACCAAGGCGACGAUCCGUAGCUGGUCUGAGAGGAUGAACGACAAAAAGGGAAAGGAGACAGGGCCCAAACUCAUACGGGAGGCAGGAGGGGGGAAAUUUGGAAAAGGGGGGAAAGCCUGAUCCAGCCAUACCGGGGGGGGGAAGAAGGCCUUGGGGUUGUAAAGCCCUUUUGUUGGGAAAGAAAAGCAGAAGGUUAAAACCCCGCUGUUUUGACGGUACCAAAAGAAAAAGCACCGGCUAACUUGGU